CCUACGGGGGGCAGCAGUGAGGAAUAUUGGUCAAUGGUCGGGAGACUGAACCAGCCAAGUCGCGUGAGGGAAGACGGUCCUAUGGAUUGUAAACCUCUUUUGCCGGGGAGCAAAAAGCGGUACGUGUACCGCAUCGAGAGUACCCGGAGAAACAGCACAGGCUAACUCCGUGCCAGCGGCCGCGGUAUUACGGGGGAUGCGAGCGUUAUCCGGAUUGAUUGGGUGUAAGGGGGGCGUAGGCGGCGAAGUAAGUCAGCGGUAAAAUUUCGGGGCUCAACCCCGACAAGCCGUUGAAACUGGCGUGCUAGAGUGGGCGAGAAGUAGGCGGAAUGCGUGGUGUAGCGGUGAAAUGCAUAGAUAUCACGCAGAACUCCGAUUGCGAAGGCAGCAUACCGGCGCCCAACUGACGCUCAGGCACGAAAGCGUGGGUAUCGAACAGGAUUAGAUACCCGAGUAGUC
rnacentral:rRNA from 1 species